rnacentral:rRNA from 1 species
CCUACGUGGGGCAGCAGUGAGGAAUAUUGGUCAAUGGUCGGGAGACUGAACCAGCCAAGCCGCGUGAGGGAUGAAGGUACAGAGUAUCGUAAACCUCUUUUGUCAGGGAACAAAGGCGGGGACGCGUCCCCGGAUGAGUGUACCUGAAGAAAAAGCAUCGGCAGACUCCGGGCCAGCAGCCGCGGUAAUACGGAGGAUGCGAGCGUUAUCCGUAUUUAUUGGGUUCAAAGGGGGCACAGGCGUGCGUUUAAGACAGCGGUAAAAUCCCGGGGCCCAACCCCGGCCCGCCGUUGAAACUGGCAGUCUCGAGUUGGAGAGAAGUAUGCGGAAUGCGCGGUGUAGCGGUGAAAUGCAUAGAUAUCGCGCAGAACUCCGAUUGCGAAGGCAGCAUGCCGGCUCCACACUGACGCUGAGGCACGAAAGCGUGGGUAUCGAACAGGAUUAGAUACCCCGGUAGUC